rnacentral:lncRNA from 1 species
AUGCUCUCUACAGGAAUCAACCCACGGCCCCUGCCCCCCAGCCAGGAAACCAGGUGGUGGACAGGCUGUGGGGGGCGGGGAGCCCUGGCUGGCACUGCCAGGCAUCAGAUCCUGACCCUGCCACUGCUGGCUCCAAGCAGCCGACCGGGGAAGGAGUGCUUGGCAAGCCGCCGGGAACUUGCCCAAUGUUUGUACUUGUUACACAUUAAUGUACUAGCUGCUUUUGCUUUUCUCCCCUGGGACGUGGGGCUGAGCGGCGUGACGGUGUCCCUGAGACAGGACAGCUUGGGGUUCAAAUGCUACCUCCACCUUCCGCUGGGGAACUCGGACAAGUUCUCUCGCCUGUCUCCCCACCUCACUCAGACUCAAGGCAGUGCCGGACAAGGCCCUGCCUGCCCCCCACCCCACCCCCCAGCCGCAGGGGCAUUCCUGCUACACUCCCUCAGCGCCCUCAGAGCCUGCGCUUGGUCUCCUGCGCCUGGAAGCUCCAGCCCCAGAACUGCCUUCCUGCCCCUCCAGGUCACUGUGCCUCACUCUCACAAUUCUGUUCAGACACUGACUCCUCGCCUCGGUCUUCCUCCACGGCACACACAGCCUGCAGCACGGGUCCGCCCCAUCAACGAAACGGAGAAUCUCCACUGAAGCCGCGCUGCAAGGCUCACGCCAGGCACACGGAUGCCUCCUCAGACAGCCCGCGGCAGCAGGACAAGCCGAGACUUCUUCCCAGCGCUGCCCUAACCUGGGCAAACCACACACACCACAGGGCUCACAGCGUCCUGAGGCCUGAAGACGACACCCAGAGUGCAGACUGCACAGUCUCCAUCAACUCCAGGGGUCAGGGAGUCUGAUUUAAACACUGAUAAUGGGGUUGUGGGGGGCACAACGCUGUGGCUCAGCUUGUUAAUGCCCCAGCCUGCAGCUGGCGCCAGUUCGAGUCCUGGCUGCUCCAAUUCCAAUCCAGCUCCCUGUUAAUGCACCUGGGAAAGCAGUGGAGAAUGACCCAAGUGCUGAGGCCCCUGCACCCACAUGAGACCUCGCUCCCAGCUCAGAUGGGCAUUGUCCCCUUUGGGAGAGUGAACCAGUGAAAGAAAGACACCCCCCCCCCCCCGUUUCCACCUCUCUGUGUAACACUGUCUUUCAAAUAAAUAAAAUAAAUCUUAAAAAAAAAAAAAAAAA